AUUGAACGCUGGCGGCAUGCCUUACACAUGCAAGUCGAACGGCAGCACGGGGCAACCUGGUGGCGAGUGGCGAACGGGUGAGUAAUGCAUCGGAACGUGCCAUUGAGUGGGGGAUAACGUAGCGAAAGUUGCGCUAAUACCGCAUAUUCUGUGAGCAGGAAAGCAGGGGGACCGCAAGGCCUUGCGCUCUUUGAGCGGCCGAUGUCAGAUUAGCUAGUUGGUGAGGUAACGGCUUACCAAGGCGACGAUCUGUAGCGGGUCUGAGAGGAUGAUCCGCCACACUGGAACUGAGACACGGUCCAGACUCCUACGGGAGGCAGCAGUGGGGAAUUUUGGACAAUGGGCGCAAGCCUGAUCCAGCAAUGCCGCGUGAGUGAAGAAGGCCUUCGGUGUAAGCUCUUUCAGCCGGAAAGAAAACGGACACGGGUUAAGUAACCUAGUGUGGA
rnacentral:rRNA from 1 species